GUGCCAGCAGCCGCGGUAAUACCGGCAGCCCAAGUGAUGGCCACUCUUAUUGGGCCUAAAGCGUCCGUAGCCGGCCUCGCAAGUCCAUCGGAAAAUCCACCCGCCCAACGGGUGGGCGUCCGGUAGAAACUGGCCGGCUUGGAACCGGAAGGCUCAGAGAGUACGUCCGGGGUAGGAGUGAAAUCCCGUAAUCCCGGACGGACUACCGAUGGCGAAAGCACUCUGAGAAGACGGCUUCGACAGUGAGGGACGAAAGCUCGGGUCUCAAACCGGAUUAGAUACCCCAGUAGUCC
rnacentral:rRNA from 1 species